rnacentral:rRNA from 1 species
UACGGAGGAUCCGAGCGUUAUCCGGAUUUAUUGGGUUUAAAGGGUGCGCAGGCGGAAGAUUAAGUCGGUGGUGAAAUUUUGCAGCUCAACUGUAAAAGUGCCAUUGAUACUGGUUUUCUUGAGUGUGGAUGAAGUAGGCGGAAUUUGUGGUGUAGCGGUGAAAUGCAUAGAUAUCACGAGGAACUCCGAUUGCGCAGGCAGCUUACUAAACUACUACUGACGCUCAGGCACGAAGGCGUGGGGAUCAAACAGGAUUAGAUA